rnacentral:rRNA from 1 species
AGAGUUUGAUCCUGGCUCAGAAUCAACGCUGGCGGCGUGCCUAACACAUGCAAGUCGCACGAGAAAGGGUAGCAAUACCUGAGUAAAGUGGCGCACGGGUGAGUAACACGUGACUAACCUACCCUCGAGUGGGGAAUAACCUAGAGAAAUCUGGGCUAAUACCGCAUAACACUUACGAGUCAAAGCAGCAAUGCGCUUGGGGAGGGGGUCGCGGCCGAUUAGCUAGUUGGCGGGGUAAUGGCCCACCAAGGCGAUGAUCGGUAUCCGGCCUGAGAGGGCGCACGGACACACUGGAACUGAAACACGGUCCAGACUCCUACGGGAGGCAGCAGUGGGGAAUUUUGCGCAAUGGGGGAAACCCUGACGCAGCAACGCCGCGUGGAGGAUGAAAUAUCUUGGUAUGUAAACUCCUUUCGAUGGGGAAGAUUAUGACGGUACCCAUAGAAGAAGCCCCGGCUAACUUCGUGCCAGCAGCCGCGGUAAUACGAGGGGGGCAAGCGUUGUUCGGAUUUAUUGGGCGUAAAGGGUGCGUAGGCGGUUUGGCAAGUCUGAUGUGAAAUCUAUGGGCUCAACCCAUAGUCUGCAUCAGAAACUGCCGGGCUUGAGUAUGGGAGAGGUGAGUGGAAUUUCCGGUGUAGCGGUGAAAUGCGUAGAUAUCGGAAGGAACACCUGUGGCGAAAGCGGCUCACUGGACCAUUACUGACGCUGAUGUACGAAAGCUAGGGGAGCAAACAGGAUUAGAUACCCCCGUAGUCC